UACAGAGGUCCCGAGCGUUGUUCGGAUUCACUGGGCGUAAAGGGCGCGUAGGUGGUGAGGUAAGUCGGAUGUGAAAUCUCCGGGCUUAACCCGGAAACUGCAUUGGAAACUACCUUGCUGGAGGGUUUGAGGGGGGACUGGAAUUCUCGGUGUAGCAGUGAAAUGCGUAGAUAUCGAGAGGAACACCGGUGGCGAAGGCGAGUCCCUGGAAAACACCUGACACUGAGGCACGAAAGCUAGGGGAGCAAACAGG
rnacentral:rRNA from 1 species